AGUGAACGCUGGCGGCGUGGAUUAGGCAUGCAAGUCGAGCGAUCCCGCAAGGGAUAGCGGCAAAAGGGUGAGUAACACGUAAGCAAUCUGCCCUCAAGUCGGGGAUAGCAUCGUGAAAACGGUGGUAAUACCCGAUGUUAUCGAGAGAUCGCAUGGUCUUUCGAUCAAAGGUGGGGACCGUAAGGCCUGCCACUUGGGGAUGAGCUUGCGUACCAUCAGCUAGUUGGUAGGGUAAUGGCCUACCAAGGCUAAGACGGUUAGCUGGUCUGAGAGGAUGGUCAGCCACACUGGGACUGAGACACUGCCCAGACUCCUACGGGAGGCUG
rnacentral:rRNA from 1 species